UAAAAGAUAAGCUAAUACUAAGCUAAUGGGCUCAUACCCCGCAAAUGAAAGUAUAAUCUUUCUCUUUUUA
rnacentral:tRNA from 1 species